rnacentral:rRNA from 1 species
CAGUAGCCGCGGUAAUACGUAGGGUGCAAGCGUUAAUCGGAGUUACUGGGCGUAAAGCGUGCGCAGGCGGUGUUGUAAGACUGAUGUGAAAUCCCCGGGCUCAACCUGGGAACUGCAUUGGUGACUGCAACGCUGGAGUGCGGCAGAGGGGGAUGGAAUUCCGCGUGUAGCAGUGAAAUGCGUAGAUAUGCGGAGGAACACCGAUGGCGAAGGCAAUCCCCUGGGCCUGCACUGACGCUCAUGCACGAAAGCGUGGGGAGCAAACAGGAUUAGAUACCCCAGUAGUCCCUGUCUCUUAUAC